CCAAUACCACCCCCGGAUCUCCUGCCGGCGCCGCUCCCCAUCCCGGCGCCCAACCCCUCCAUGCCGUCGCUCUCCUCCCGGCGCCGCUCCCCUCCACCGCCCAGCUCCCGUCCUGGCGCCGCACCCUCCCCGCGCCGUUGCUCUCCUCCCGGCGGCGCUCGCCGCCUCCGACGGCGCUCCCCCCACCACGGCCACAUUUUUUUUUGGCUAGUCCGCAGUCCCUCCUAGCGCCGCACCAACCUCCCGCGCCGUCGGUCUCCUCUGGGCGCCGCUCGCCUCCCCCACCGGGGAUGGGGGAGUGCACUUCCUCGGUGACAACGGCGCCGCCGAGGUCGCGCGGCUUACGACAAGGAGGUCGACCGCUGUGUCGUGGGCAAGAUGCAGCACAAGUGAGCGAGCGAGCGGGUGCCUAGAUUAGCUUCGCCCUUCGUCUUCCUCCACUCCUCCAUUUCCUCGCCCCCCGACGGAAUCUAGAUUUUCUUCUCUCGGGGUCGAAUCGCCCGGCUCUGCGAGGCCGUCCGAUUUCGCUCGGUGGAUUGGGUCCUUCGUACUUCCCCGAUCUGUGUCGGGUUCGUUUCGCUGAGCUUGUUCUCAUGGGAAUGAAUUUUGUGCUGCUUCUGCAAGUGCGAGCAUUACCGGCGGAGGUGUAAGAUCGUGGCGCCAUGCUGCAAUUAGGUGUUCCCCUGCCGCCACUGCCAUAACGAGGCCACGAGCAGUAUAGCAGGAAACUUAUCUGCACAGGCGCCUUGGUUGUUCAAAUCGAGUAGCUGGUGCACUCCUGUCAUCUGCUUAUACGUGAGCCCAGCGGAACAUAAAGUUUCAGACUAACGACCAAUCCGCAAGCAUCAGAAUACUACAACAGGCUGUAGCAACUAUGUACCUUGCCUGAAGCGCACCUGGUGAUUUACAUAGAACAAUAUUACAUAAUGGUAUGCAACGAUGUGCCCUGCUUGAAGUGCGCAUAUACAUCAGAGAUAUGUGAAACUGUAGAAUCUUGACAGGUAGUUGCCAUCUCCAAUCUAGUGUACAUGCAUGAAGAAUUUCAUUGCUCAGCGAUGCCAAUUUAAUUUAUCGGGUUUCGACUUUAAGCACAGAUAUUGGCAAACAUCUUGUUUGAGAACAUUUUCUGAAAUUUUGUAGUGACUGCAUGCCCCACCUUAACCAAGGCGUGCGAAUGCACUUCAUUUCUGUUUGGUUUGUGUCAUGAUCUGAUCUGGAAGCAUCUGAUCUGAUAAAAUGGCCCUUCAAAUCAAACAGGGUGUAAAUGUGGCACAAGUCAUGAUUCGUUUGUUUCCAUUUUCAGAUGUCAUGAUAGGUCUUCACUCUUCACCUUCAUCUGCCUCAAACAUUGAGGGUGGUAGUAACGAGAUGAUGCACAACAAUUUGCAGUGAUGCAGGAUCUAGCUCCCAGCAGAGGAAAAAGUGUGGCGACCCCUUGUUUCAGGUGCCUUGUCCCUUUAUAUUUUCUUCUAUUGUCGCGUUAUCCCUUUGUUUUUUCUUCUAUUGUCAACUAGCAUUGUAUUCAUUGUGUGAAACUCCACUUGGUGGAUGUCGUUAAGGGCUGACUUUUAAUUUGGGCUUAUUAACUCCCGAUUUCAACUUCUGUUAGUGGUUGUAGAUCACCAUCAUCAUCCCUUUGCCACAGUUUUGGAUAAUCAAUCUACUAGCAAAUUAUUAGGCUGAUUUUGCUGGAUUUGUUGAUUAUUAGUUAAAUUUAUUUUUAUUGGUUAAUUGACAAAUUGUUACUACAAUCAUUGUGGUUAUGAGCUGUUACCUUCUACCCUGUUACUGCUUGUGUGGUUCUUAUAGUCUGACUAGGUAUUAUGGUAAGCUAGUUUCCCGUAGUGUUUAUUUUUUGUAUGUGCAGCUAGUACCAUUGAAUAAUAUGUCUUACUUUUACUAAGGACUCCUAUUUUCUGAACAUUAGAUGUGUUAUCACCCAACUGAAUCUUUGCCUACAAAGUAUUCUUUGAUCUGAACUGUAGUCUUUUGCUCCAUCACACAUGGGAAUACUUGUGACAGGUUUUUAUGGUUCACUCACUUCAUUUUACAAGGUAGCUAGAUUUUUGUGUCUGUGCAUGUCAUUAUCUGUGACGAAGAAACAAACUCCAAGAUAGGUUGCAUAUAGUUAAUUUUCUAUACACGUGACAUUAUCUGCAAAAAUGUUCUCCCGUUGUGGUUUUUCUAUUGCAGGUGGCAGUGACUAAGACUAGGUCACAACUCACAAAGGAAACUGCAAGAGUGAAUACACAAGCUUAGGUUCCAGUGAGCUCAGCAUGAUAUAUCCAAGACCAAGGGGAUAAACACUGUAUCAUUUAAGUCUACACAUUCAACAUGUUGUUUUCAUGAAAAUGACUUCAGUCUACAAAUGCCAAUGUGUACGUGGUCAGAAGCUAGCUGAAAAAACGGCUACAAGGGACAAGAUGGGUCUUAAGGCAGACAGAAAAAGUUAAAUUUAUUGUUCAAUUUGUAUUCCUUGACUCACCUAGAUGCUCAUUUGAUAAGAAGUCUAUUUGCAAAAUACGUAUGACUUUA